rnacentral:lncRNA from 1 species
GUUUGGGGGGUGUUUUCCGGAGAGGGUAGGAAUUUACUGUAGCCUUACCAUAAACCUGGGUUCCCUGGUGUCUCAAACAGUAAAGAAUCUGCCUGCAAUCCGGGAGACCCAGGUUCGAUCCCUGGGUCAGGAAGACCCCCUGGAGGAGGGCAUGGCCACCUACUCCAGUGUUCUUAUCUAGAGAAUCCCGUGAACAGAGGAGCCUGGCAGGUUACAGUCCAUGGGGUCACAAAGAGUUGGACACAACUGAAGCGACUAACACUUUCACUUUCACUAUCCCAAACCAGGAAACACGUGACUUGGAAGCCAGGCUGGUGGUCCCUGGUUGUCUCUCCCUGGAGGCUGAGUUCUCUGAUUUCCUCGCACAGGCUGCACGCGUUUCUAUUUACAGACUCAUCCCCACUGGGCCCUCCCUGAGCUGGCUUCCCGAGAUCCCGCCGGACCUCCACCACCCCAGGCCUGGAAUCUCCCGUGUGGUCUCCAGCUCCCAGUUCCGCCUCCCGCCUUGGACAAGGCGGAGCGUGUUGUGUUGUUCUCCAGCGAUUUCUCAUGGUGCUGAAGCCUGAUUGAAAAUGAUAAAAAAAAAAAAAAAAAAAGAUCAAGCAUAUCUUCACAACUGUCAGUGAGUUCCCACAACCAAGACAGCCAAGUGGGCAGAGUUCUGAGAGCCGUGCCCCUGCCCAGGCUGGCCAGGAUGGCUUGGGAACCUUCGACCCCAAUGAAGAUGAAACCCAGAAUCGUCUGACCUCAGCCAGACUUCCGAGCAAACCUCCCCUCUGAGCUCCGGGGCGCGGAGCUAGGCGUCUCCUGGGGAAGAGUGGUCCCUCCUGAGGGUUCUUCCUGGAAGACAGGGGGCCCAAGGUGGCGAUGAACGUGCCCGCUGCAGUGCUUCUCUGAGGGUUUGCUGGGCACAGGGGUCACAGGAGGGGACGGAGUCUUGUGCAAACACUCCUGUUAGGCAUCUCCCACCUGGCUGGCUGCUCUUCACCUUCUCUUGGGCAGAAGGCCCCUGCCCUGGUUUCUCCAGCCUCAGCGGACGUGCACACGAGACAGUGCCGGUCCCUUCAUCCGGUAGCUGGGAUCGCUGUACUCCAGGGCGCGUUUAUCUGCACACCCCUCCACCGAACAGGCCAAUCGAACCUCGCACACAGCGCUGGGUGCUUUUGGACACUGACGUGUCCCAGCAAUCGCCAGGGCCUUGAUUUAUACGUGUGGAAGCCAGAAGCUUCCUAUUGCAACCCAGCGGGCCUGGUUUCCGUCCUCAUUACUGACUUUCCACUGGGAAAUAAUUAGGUGACAAUGACCAAACGCAGCCCCCAGAUAGCAGGUACUCCGUAAACGCUUGUCGGAUUAAAGGAAAGUGAAUUAGUUCUAUUUAUACAAAAAUAACGAACUAUGGGCUGGAGAAACAGCCAAGUGGUUGGCUUGGGGGGUGCGUGGGCGGGAGUCCCACCGGGAGUCCCACCCGUCCGGGAAUGGGAUCCGGUUGACCAAGGCGGGAGCGGCAGGGUCCGGCUGGCCUCCCGACACCGCUCUGAAGGAGGGGCGUUUGCUCCCGUUGGCGUCUCCCGGCCAGCGGAGGCCCUGGCCACCGCGCCCCUGGAUGGCGAGCCAGCCGGGUGACGCACGCCCGCAGCCCAUGAGAGCAUCCCCCGAAGUGCCGCCGCUGCCUCCCGGGACUUAAUCACGCCGAGUCGCGCCCACCCCGCGCACGCCGUAACGUGGCAUUUUAAUAUCCCGGACCUGUGACAUUUACACACCGCUUGAACUUUACUUCAGUGGCUUAUAUAUUACCAUCUGCGCUCCUUCAGAAGUGUGGCUUCAACGCAGUUUAUUCUCCAUCUUAGAGUUAUUUCUGGACUUUGCUACAGUCACAUUUCGCUGGCCUCCAACAGCUUUAAGCUCCUCAUAACAGUUACCAUGGAAUGUUCUAUUUCAAGGUAAAGCUAAGGCAUGCGGUAAUUAAACAUAUAAAAUAAAACUGCAAAACAUUGUUUCUAUACA